CUCAGCAGUGUUUGUACUUACUGACAUCAUUUCUAAUUUCUCUUUGGUUGUUAAACUCUGGCAGGUUUAAGACUGAUGCUGAAGAUGGAGGACAGAGAGCAGAGAGAGCUCCCUCUGCUGUCUGUGGGAUUUCAGGCUCCAACUAAUGUGGCCCACAGUUCCCUUUGGUAGAAUCUGAAGCAGAUUGUUGUGAUUUUCCCCACAGUGAUGGAGACUCAGCUGUCUUCCCCAGGACACUUCUUCAGAGAUGACUUUGACACAGCAUCGAGGCUGAAGCCCUUGGGGAGAUGCUAAGAAAUCAGCUAAGCUGCUAACAUGUCCCAGCAUGCACCAGAUAACAGAGGCUUGAUAAACCCAAAGGGCUCGUUGUUAAACAAGUGCCUGGAGCUGAGCUGAUGCUAGUGGUUGCCAUUAUGCUGGGACCAGGAGGAAAUGAACUGUGUCAACAUGUUUGUGAGUGACUAACUACUGUUUUCUAUGGAACAAAAGAUGUGAGAGGUGAGUAAAUAGGUAGUAAAACAUGGGUGUGGAGCCUUUGCAGGCUCCUUUCUGCUCUGGAGAAUGAAUCAAGUCUAAUACAUGUAGGGGGAAGAUGUUGUAGCAUUGCCUUUUGACAAGUAGUGCCUUUUUUUCUGCCACCAUCAGUGAAGAAAAAAAAAAGGCUCCUUUAUUUUCACCAAUGGCUAUGAUUAACCAGUCUGAUCUGCUAGAUUGGAUUUGUUAUGCUAGUGUUUGCUAGUGAUUUAUGGGGCAGUGUGCUAUCUCAGCUCUCUAUAUAUGCAUGCCCCAGUUAUCCUUCACACACCUCUGCUACUCUUUCAUUCCCUGUUCUCUUCUUUCUUCCCUCUACGAGGAGACUGCAUAUUGCUCAUGAUCUGUCCAGGAAACGUGUUGCAUUUCUCUCCUGUUCAUGUGACUGUGGGAAUGUUCAGUGCCCCACCAGUUACUUCUGAGAUCCUGUGAAAAAGUACGGUGUGGGGUAACUGGAAAUCUCCAGGCAGGCAAAUGAAGAGGGAUAUGUGUUGUUUCCAAAAUACAUUUCUUUCUAGGAUGUAAAAAGGAGAAAGUUCCCUUGUUCUGGAGAGGAGAGAAGCAAGAGCUAGUGUUCAUGUCACUGCCUGUGAUUUUAAGUGUUCCCACAGGUGAUCCUACAUAUAUUUGACAUGGGCACAUUUGUGUGUUGGUUGGUUG
ensembl:lncRNA